CGAUGUUUGCAUUGCGUAUAUGGAAUCUAUUUUAAAGGAAAAUAAACACUUGGGACAUUUAGUCUCCAGUAAAGUCAUAAGUAGCUACCUGAAUUCCGUAGGAAGACACGUCAGCUAUAGGUGUCCAUCGAACGUGAGCGACGGUUUCUUGGUGCGUUAACACGGUUAUUCCGAUUGGCGGGUAUAUGACUGCAAAGGUUUUUGUUUAGCAAGGCAUUGAUGGCCUACAUUGCUUUUGACAACCAUGGAAUAGUAGAAAUAGGACCUCGGUUCUAUUUUGUUCGUUUUCGGAGCGCGAGGUAAUGCUUAAGAGGGACAGACGGGGGAAUUCGUACUGUGCAUUCAGUUAGGGAUAUAUUCUUGGAUUGGCGCAAGACGAACCACUGUAAAAGCAUUUGCCAAGAAUGUUUUCUUUAAUCAAG
rnacentral:ncRNA from 1 species